rnacentral:rRNA from 1 species
GACGAACGCUGGCGGCGUGCCUAAUACAUGCAAGUAGAACGCUGAAGCGAGGAGCUUGCUCUUCUUGGAUGAGUUGCGAACGGGUGAGUAACGCGUAGGUAACCUGCCUUGUAGCGGGGGAUAACUAUUGGAAACGAUAGCUAAUACCGCAUAACAAUGGAUGACACAUGUCAUUUAUUUGAAAGGGGCAAUUGCUCCACUACAAGAUGGACCUGCGUUGUAUUAGCUAGUAGGUGAGGUAAUGGCUCACCUAGGCGACGAUACAUAGCCGACCUGAGAGGGUGAUCGGCCACACUGGGACUGAGACACGGCCCAGACCCCUACGGGAGGCAGCAGUAGGGAAUCUUCGGCAAUGGGGGCAACCCUGACCGAGCAACGCCGCGUGAGUGAAGAAGGUUUUCGGAUCGUAAAGCUCUGUUGUAAGUCAAGAACGGGUGUGAGAGUGGAAAGUUCACACUGUGACGGUAGCUUACCAGAAAGGGACGGCUAACUACGUG